CUCUUCCUGUGUGAGGUAGGGUCGUACUCUACGGAUGUUCCUCUUCCUGUGUGAGGGAGGGUCGUACUCUACGGAUGUUCCUCUUCCUGUGUGAGGUAGGGUCGUACUCUACGGAUGUUCCUCUUCCUGUGUGAGGUAGGGUCGUACUCUACGGAUGUUCCUCUUCCUGUGUGAGGUAGGGUCGUACUCUACGGAUGUUCCUCUUCCUGUGUGAAGUAGGGUCGUACUCUACGGAUGUUCCUCUUCCUGUGUGAGGUAGGGUCGUACUCUACGGAUGUUCCUCCUCCUGUGUGAGGUAGGGUCGUACUCUACGGAUGUUCCUCUUCCUGUGUGAAGUAGGGUCGUACUCUACGGAUGUUCCUCUUCCUGUGUGAGGUAGGGUCGUACUCUACGGAUGUUCCUCUUCCUGUGUGAG
ensembl:lncRNA